CAGCAGUCUUGGCAUCGCUUCGGGAGUGUGCGGAGCUCGCUUCAAGAUGCCUAGAUGCGUGUUCUGCUUUUUUGAUCCUCAUGAUAUCGGGGAUGAUGAGCCAUUAGAAGAGAAUUCACCAUCUUCUCCAGACAUUUCACCUGCCACAUUGCAUGCUCACGUCGAGCGAUCACAUCCCUAUGUGGACAUUUCCUUCCUGCCUUUCUUUCAAACUGAUAGCGCAUUUCGAGGUAUCGUCAAAGCGUUUGAGCUCUUGGCAUCUGUUCACGAUCAAGGAGUAGAGGACUUGCGACAAUAUUUAAUGAACCACCUCCACAAUAUAAUUGCUAUUUUGCGGGCGCAAAGAAUACCCUUUAGGUUUUGCAUUUGUUCUGACGUUCUAAUGAUGAAAGAAAAUCGAGGGGAUGUAACCGCACACAUAGCUCAUUUUAUGGCGCUUGCUCGCGAAGUCCACAGCGACGGAGCUAUCGCAAAUACUUUGAUGGAUGUGAUUCAGGAGUCCACCGGGCGCAUUGAAAAUUAUCAGCGCGAGGGUAGUGGGUUUGUAUCCACUGACGUCCAAAAAGUUCAAGUGUGUAUUUCUGCUGUGAAAACUAAAAAAAAAUCGCGUGCAAUGGGGUACUUCCCACGAAUCUGGCUAAACGCAGGACCGUGUUAACGAAUAUCCAUUUACCAGCACACAAGGAGGGCGAAUGUUUUAAAUACAAUACGCUCGCUCUCCUGCACCCACAGGAAAAGAAUUCGUGGAAAAAAUGUGAAAAUUAUGCAGUAGAUUACUGGUGGCCAAGACACUUCCCCGUUUCAUUUUCUGAUCUGGACGAAUUCGAAGACAAAAACAAGAUAUCCGUUUACGUGUACGAGUACGUCGAUCAGGGAGUGCACGUGUCGCGACCCCCAAAACUCGAGUGUGAAAAGAAAAUUCACUUAUUGGCUAUAGGUGAACAUAUUUUUGGAAUCAAAUCCCUCGAACGAUUACUGAUGAGAGACAAUAGGUGUUUCGUAUGAGAACGUUGCACGCGCUCUUUUAACGAGGAAAAGAGCAUGGCGAAGCAUCGUCGCCUGUGCGCAGACGUGAAUGAAAUCUUAUUGGAAUUUUGCGAACCUGGCAAAAAUUUUGUGGAAUUUAAUGAAAUACAGUACAAGCAGCAGUACAACUACGUCGUCGCGUUGGACACAGAGAGCGUACUCGCGCCCAGUGGCGUUGGCAUGCAGCGUCACGUCACCUCUAGCUUCUGUGCCGUGCUCGUGCGCACCCACGACUCGAAGGUGAUGCGCGUCAGGACGCACCACGGUGAAGAUUCCGCGAGGCAGUGCGUGAAGGCUUUGAUGGAAAUGCGGGAUGAGAUGGUUGCCCUGAAUGCCUGCCCCGCCACAAUGGUGCUGAAUGAUGAGCAACAGGCCGAGCACAGAGGUGCCACCCAUUGCGCGUACUGUAAACGGGAGUUCACGCGAGAUCUACCCCAUGUCCGUCAUCACGACCAUUCCAAACGAUGUACUGCCAGGGACACAAAUUACAUUGCGACGCUGUGCAGCCCCUGUAACGUGGCGUGCACGACGAGAGAAAAAUUACCGAUCAUGGUGCACAAUCUGGCCUACGAUUUGGCCGGACUGCUGCGGGAAUUUCACCUUCUCGGGUGGAAGCGAGCUCCCUUCAUCGUUGCCAGUUCCAUGGAAAAAAUUCGAUCGUUCGAAAUUGGCACCUUCCUAUUCAGAGAUACCAUGCAGUACCUAAAUUCGUCGCUGGGAGA